UACGUAGGUGGCAAGCGUUGUCCGGAUUUACUGGGCGUAAAGAGCGCGCAGGCGGUCGUUCAAGUCGCGUGUGAAAGCCCCCGGCUCAACUGGGGAGGGUCACGCGAUACUGAUCCGACUCGAAGGCAGGAGAGGGUAGUGGAAUUCCCGGUGUAGUGGUGAAAUGCGUAGAUAUCGGGAGGAACACCAGUGGCGAAGGCGACUACCUGGCCUGUUCUUGACGCUGAGGCGCGAAAGCUAGGGGAGCAAACGGG
rnacentral:rRNA from 1 species